rnacentral:rRNA from 1 species
CCUUGCAUCCCCAAGAUGGCGGCGCCGGCCACCCUUCUCUCUGGCCUCAUCAUCGCGGAGGACACGACGGCGCCGCCGCUGCGGCUCUUCAACUCGAAGACAAAGAAGAAGGAGCUCUUCGUGCCGCGCGUCAAGGGCAAGGUCGGCAUGUACAUCUGCGGCGUCAUGCCCUACGACUCGAGCCACGUCGGCCACACCCGCGCCUACGUCGCCUUCGACGUUCUCUAUCGAUAUCUCAACUUUUUGGGGUACGAAGUUAAUUACGUGCGCAACUUCACCGACGUUGAUGAUAAGAUUAUCGAACGGGCGAAACAGAAUGGUGAAGAUAUAUCCAGUUUGUGCACUCGGUUUAUUAAUGAGUUUCAUACUCACAUGACUGAGCUGCAGUGCAUGCCCCCCACUGUCGAGCCUCGUGUAAAGAAACAUAUCGAAGAUAUUGUGGAUUUAAUCACCGAGAUAAUCAAGAAUGACAAAGGCUAUGCUGUAGACGGCAGCGUCUACUUUUCAAUCAAUAGAUUUUCUGAAUAUCUCAGUUUAUCUGGUAGGAAGCAAGAUGAUAAUCUUGCUGGUUCGCGGGUUGAUGUUGAUCCAAAAAAGCAGAACGAUGCAGACUUUGCAUUAUGGAAGGCUGCUAAGGAGGGUGAGCCUUCAUGGGAGAGCCCUUGGGGUGAUGGAAGACCAGGAUGGCAUAUUGAAUGCAGCGCAAUGAGUGCUCGCUAUUUAGGACAUGUAUUUGAUAUCCAUGGUGGAGGGAAAGAUCUGAUAUUUCCUCAUCAUGAGAAUGAGCUUGCACAAAGCCGAGCGGCUUAUCCAGAAAGUGAGGUCAACUGCUGGAUGCAUAAUGGUUUUAUUAACAAUGCGGCGAGAAAAAUGUCGAAAUCAGCUAAUAACUUCGUCACGAUCAGAAGCUUCUCAUUUGAACUCGUAUGGUGUUUCCUAACAUGUAUUAUGACUCAGUACCAUCCUAUGGCUUUAAGAUUUUUCUUGGUACGCGCACAUUAUAAGUCUGACAUGAAUUACUCUGAUGAAGCACUAGAGAUUGCAUCUGAUCGUGUAUACUACAUUUAUAAGACCUUACAUGACUGCGAUGAAAUGACGUCUCUGUAUCAUGAAGAGAAUAUAUCUGUCCCGGUCCCGGCUGAGGAGCAAAAAUUGGUUGACGGCCACCAUAAAGCUUUUUUGGAAUCUAUGUCAGACGAUCUUCGAACUACAAAUGUUCAGGAUGGCUUCAUGGAGCUGCUUAAGGCAAUAGACAGCAAUUUGAAUGAUUUGAAGAAGUUGCAGCAAAAACUGGAACAACAAAAGAAGGAGCAACACUAGAAGAAGCAGCAGCAGCAUGAUCAGAAGCCACAGAGACAACCAGAAGACCACAUUCAAGCUCUGGCUGCGUUGAGUGCCGAGAUUAAAAGCAAACUGUCCAUCCUCGGCCUGAUGCCACAAUCACCUUUGGCAGAGGAACUGGAGCAUCUGAAGGUAAAAGCGUUGACGCGGGCAGGGCUGACCGAUGAGUCGUUGCGCGAGCAGAUUGAGCAGAGAGUCGCGGCAAGGAACAACAAGCAGUUUGACGUGUCGGACCAGAUCAGGAAGGACCUUGCCAGCAAAGGCAUCUCCCUGAUGGAUGAACCUACUGGUACGGUGUGGAGACCAUGCGAACGAGAGUAG